rnacentral:lncRNA from 1 species
UGAUCUUGGAGUUAGGUUUUGGUUUUUAUGAUUUCAUAAUAAUUGCUUUGAAAUCCGUGCUUCCGCCAUUGUCACAAAACCUUUCAGUGGUAUCAGAGCAACCUUGUUAGAAUUAAAUCAUAUGAUGAUAUGUUAAUGAUUUAAUGGCAAUGUUAUAAAUAUGAUAUGAUCAUUAUUUAUGUUUUAAUAUGAUAUUAAUAUGAUGAGAUCAUAUUCAUUAUUUCAUAAUUAAAUUAUGAUGUAUAUAAUUAUGGAAUGUUGCUCUAUCAUAUUGAAUUGUGUUUACUAUGAUGCUAAUUUCUUUUAUUCAUGUAUUUAGUAUGAUAUAGAAAUUAAAU